rfam:Callithrix jacchus chromosome 7, whole genome shotgun sequence
GCCGGGCAUGGUGGCUCAUGCCUGUAAUCCCAGGAUUUUGGGAGGCCGAGGUGGGCGGAUCACCUGAGGUCAGGAGUUCGAGAGCAGCCUGGCCAACAUAGUGAAACCCCAUCUCUU